UGUAAGCGUAUACCAAAGUUGUUGCAGUUAAAACGCUCGUAGUCGGAAUUUGGCAGUUCCGGAUGUGUGCACGUCGUGUGCGCACUUCGCGGGGAUUGCUUUUGUGGUCUUGCGUAGGAUGAGGCACUUUUAUUAGUGAACGUCCUCACGCAACCACUUUUUACUGUGAGAAAAGCAGAGUGCUCAAAGCAGGCAUUUGCCGUGAAUGUAUUAGCAUGGAAUAAUAGAAUAGGACUUGGUUCUAUUUUGUUGGUUUGUUGGGACUGAGUAAUGAUUAAGAGGGACAGUUGGGGGCAUUUGUAUUUCGGUGCUAGAGGUGAAAUUCUUAGAUUACCGAAAGACAAACUGCUGCGAAAGCGUCUGCCAAGGAUGUUUUCAUUGA
rnacentral:rRNA from 1 species